rnacentral:rRNA from 1 species
CAUUCACGGAGAGUUUGAUCCUGGCUCAGGACGAACGCUGGCGGCGUGCUUAACACAUGCAAGUCGAACGAUGAACCACUUCGGUGGGGAUUAGUGGCGAACGGGUGAGUAACACGUGGGCAAUCUGCCCUGCACUCUGGGACAAGCCCUGGAAACGGGGUCUAAUACCGGAUACUG